CGGAGAGCUCCGCGGUGGUCGCCGCUCUGGCUCUUGUCAGCGCGGAGGAAAGUCCGAACUCCGACGGGCAGCAUGCUCGCUAACGGCGAGGCGCGGUGACGCGACGGAAAGUGCAACAGAGAGGAGACCGCCCGGGCCCUCAGGGGCACGGGUAAGGGUGAAAGGGUGCGGUAAGAGCGCACCGCUCCACCGGUGACGGUGUGAGGCACGGUAAACCCCAUGCGGAGCAAGACCAAAUAGGGUGGCGAAUCGCGGGUCGCCCGUCCCGCUUUCGGCUCUCCGUUUCGACGGCGGGCGCGAGUCGCCGCCGGGUAGGUCGCACGAGGCCGACGGCAACGUCGGUCCCAGAGGAAUGACCGCCGACCCGGUUUCCCGGGAGGACAGAAUUCGGCUUAUGGGGCUCUCCGGCGU
rnacentral:RNase_P_RNA from 1 species